CCUGAUGCAGCAACGCCGCGUGAGGGAUGACGGCCUUCGGGUUGUAAACCUCUUUUAGUAGGGAAGAAGGGAGCUUGCUCUUGACGGUACCUGCAGAAAAAGCACCGGCUAACUACGUGCCAGCAGCCGCGGUAAUACGUAGGGUGCAAGCGUUGUCCGGAAUUAUUGGGCGUAAAGAGCUCGUAGGCGGUUUGUCGCGUCUGCUGUGAAAUCCCGAGGCUCAACCUCGGGCUUGCAGUGGGUACGGGCAGACUAGAGUGCGGUAGGGGAGAUUGGAAUUCCUGGUGUAGCGGUGGAAUGCGCAGAUAUCAGGAGGAACACCGAUGGCGAAGGCAGAUCUCUGGGCCGUAACUGACGCUGAGGAGCGAAAGCAUGGGGAGCGAACAGGAUUAGAUACCCUGGUAGUCCAUGCCGUAAACGUUGGGCGCUAGAUGUAGGGACCUUUCCACGGUUUCUGUGUCGUAGCUAACGCAUUAAGCGCCCCGCCUGGGGAGUACGGCCGCAAGGCUAAAACUCAAAGGAAUUGACGGGGGCCCGCACAAGCGGCGGAGCAUGCGGAUUAAUUCGAUGCAACGCGAAGAACCUUACCAAGGCUUGACAUACACCGGAAACGGCCAGAGAUGGUCGCCCCCUUG
rnacentral:rRNA from 1 species